UGUAUUAAAUAUAUUCAGUUUAUUCACAAUUACAUGAUGAGGAUAUACAUAGAAACUAGAGUAACAAAUUUCUAGCUAACUGAUAAGCCUGUAACAGAUUGCUAGCCAAAGUGAUGAACCUAUAGAUUAGGAUCCCAAAGUUCAAGUUUGAAUAUGUAACAGACCAAGUAUAACAGCUUGAUGUUAACAGAUCUUUGCUGCUAUUGCUAUGAUCUUAUCUUAUGCGUUAAUAGGAUCAUGAAGUGCUUAAACUUUAAACUAUCAAGAGUUUAUGUGUUCUAUGAGCUUGCUGUUUUAAGUUCCACCAUCUCAGACGCUACACAUAAAAAAUUAUUUGCUUGUGUUUUUAUUUUUAUUUCUAUUGUAUUUUGAGGUAGGAGAGAGAAAUAUGAUCUUUUUUGGAAUGUAGAUAUAGAUUUUGGGUUGCUUGAUUUGCUGUAAUAGAUGGUAAGUCACCAUCAGUUUUGUCCUCACAAGUGUAUAGUUGAUCUGGUUGUCCCUUGAAUUGGUCUUCACUUGCUCACAUUAUGAAUGUUUCUAACUAUUUUCUUGGCUAUUUCAAUUAUUGGGUUUUUAUCUGGCUUUGGAGUAUUCUUCACACUUAUUAUGUCAAGUGUUAUAUUCCAUUCUUUGCCUUUAUUUUCUAUGAUUGAAUGUGACCAUUUGGAUCCAUUCUUAAAUUUCAGUUGGAGCCGUCAAUUUCAUUCAUAUUCGUAUUCAGCAGAAACAUCAAACACAUACAACUAUCCAUCUUUUUGUUCAGUUUCUGCUCCAUCUCUCAAUCUAUUUCAAUCUCACACAACCAACCAACCAUAUCUUGCAUGUUCCAAUUUAUUCUUCAUCCAAUCCAUUUGAUUUCACACACAAAACAACAAAAACGGCUCAAUCGUUCAUUCACUGAUAUUUCACUGCAGCCACAUCCACCUUCACUGAACCAGAUUUUGUGUUGAUAGGUCAACAUGGAGAUCGAUAGAGCAAUCAGAGAGUGUGACGAUCGAAGGCUUCAGACCAAGUAUAAACAAUGCUACCUAUGUUAUUCAGAGAGCCUUGGCUUUGUAUUCGAUGGGACGAAAUGAGGAUAUCCAUUGAUAUGUAGAGAAGGUGGUAGCUUGGUCUCGAGAAAGAGGGAGCAGAAGGUAGAGAAGUUGCUAUUAUUCUUCAUUGGUUCAAUGGGAUGGAUCAACAACUGGUGAGCACCAAGCAGAGUUUCAAUUUGAAUUGAACCAGUAGUGACUCAUUUCUAUGGUUAUCCACCUCCAUUUUUAAGGCCCAAGUUUCCAAGGCAACCAGGAAUGCCAACUGGUGAGCACCAAGCAGAGUUUCAAUUUGGUAAAUUGAACCAGUAGUGACUCAUUUCUAUGGUUAUCCACCUCCAUUUUUAAGGCCCAAGUUUCCAAGGCAACCAGGAAUGCCAGUUGUUAGAUGAGAGAAGAUCAUCAUUGUCUUAUGGUUUAUUCAUCUACUUAUCGAGGUGAUUGGGUACAAAAGAUGACGAGGGUUACCUGUGAUUUUGGCGAUACAAUGUAGAAAGAGGCAGUGUCUUCUAAAAUCUCACUCCAGAAUUCUUUCCCUAUUCACGUUCCCCGAUGAAAGUCCAAGCCUCUCUUUCAAUCUGAAUAUAUGCAUUUAAGAUGAUAAUAGAGGUAUUGCUUUAGGUGGAGACAGUAUCCUAGAGUUAGUUGAUUAGUUUUAACAUACGAGAAUUGUGAUUCAGUGGCUAAAAGCUAGAAGUAUGAGGCGAAAAUGUCAAUGAUAUUUAUACUUAUCCAUAUGUGCAUGUGAGCCUCACUUAGAACUCGAGUUCUAUCUCUCAAGAGUUGAGAUUUACGCGAUAUCAAUUUAAAGAGUGGGUCUAUAGUUUGUUUGUAAGAGUUUUAAGACUUUCAAGAUUUGUAAUUUUGUGCUAUUCUUGAAUUAAUUCUGGUUCCUUGGCACAAUAUGCACGAAAACUACCAUGUAUUAUUUGCAAGAAAAUUGAAUAUGAUUGAUGCUUAGGGAGUAGAA